GACGAACGCUGGCGGCGUGCUUAACACAUGCAAGUCGAACGGUAAGGCCCUUCGGGGUACACGAGUGGCGAACGGGUGAGUAACACGUGGGUGAUCUGCCCUGCACUUCGGGAUAAGCCUGGGAAACUGGGUCUAGUACCGGACAGGACCCUGGGAUGCAUGUCCUGGGGUGGAAAGCUUUUGCGGUGUGGGAUGGGCCCGCGGCCUAUCAGCUUGUUGGUGGGGUGAUGGCCUACCAAGGCGACGACGGGUAGCCGGCCUGAGAGGGUGACCGGCCACACUGGGACUGAGAUACGGCCCAGACUCCUACGGGAGGCAGCAGUGGGGGAUAUUGCACAAUGGGCGCAGGCCUGAUUCAGCGACGCCGCGUGAGGGAUGACGGCCUUCGGGUUGUAAACCUCUUUCAGCACCGACGAAGCGCAAGUGACGGUAGGUGCAGAAGAAGGACCGGCCAACUACGUGCCAGCAGCCGCCGUAA
rnacentral:rRNA from 1 species